UGCCAGCAGCCGCGGUAAUACGGAGGACACAAGCGUUAUCCGGAUUUAUUGGGUUUAAAGGGUGCGUAGGCGGUUUGUUAAGUCAGUAGUGAAAUCUUACAGCUCAACUGUAAAAUUGCUAUUGAUACUAGCAGCCUAGAGUAAGAUUGGAGCAAUUGGAAUGUGUGGUGUAGCGGUGAAAUGCAUAGAUAUCACACAGAACACCGAUCGCGAAGGCAGAUUGCUAAGUCUUUACUGACGCUGAGGCACGAAAGCGUGGGUAGCAAACAGGAUUAGAUACCCUGGUAGUCCACGCUGUAAACGAUGAUCACUAGCUGUUGGAUUGUUUUUUUUAUUCAGUGGCCAAUCGAAAGAGGUAAGUGAUCCACCUGGGGAGUACGAUCGCAAGAUUGAAACUCAAAGGAAUUGACGGGGGUCCGCACAAGCGGUGGAGCACGUGGUUUAAUUCGAUAAUACGCGAGGAACCUUACCAAGGCUUAAAUGUACCA
rnacentral:rRNA from 1 species